rnacentral:rRNA from 1 species
AUGAACGCUAGCGACAGGCCUAACACAUGCAAGUCAGGGGCAGCACAAGGAGCAAUCUGAGGUGGCGACCGGCGCACGGGUGAGUAACACGUAUGCAACCUGCCUGUAAGCGGGGAAUAACCCGUUGAAAGACGGACUAAUACCGCAUAAUACUAAAUUACUGCAUGGUAAUUUAUUUAAACAUUUAUGGCUUACAGAUGGGCAUGCGCAUGAUUAGCUAGUUGGAGAGGUAACGGCUCCCCAAGGCAACGAUCAUUAGGGGUUCUGAGAGGAAGGUCCCCACACUGGUACUGAGACACGGACCAGACUCCUACGGGAGGCAGCAGUGAGGAAUAUUGGUCAAUGGACGAGAGUCUGAACCAGCCAAGUCGCGUGCAGGAAGAAUGUCCUAAUGGAUUGUAAACUGCUUUUGCAGGGGAAUAAAGUGCAUCACGUGUGAUGUUUUGUAUGUACUCUGCGAAUAAGGAUCGGCUAACUCCGUGCCAGCCGCAGC